UGAAUGGUCGCCAAUGGUGUGCCAGUCU
rnacentral:sRNA from 1 species